ACGUUACUCUGUAGAGCCACUUUUCCUCACAACAUCAUCAGUCUCACGCGGCCCUGACUGCAUCCACGCUGCAGAAGCAGGCAUUGGUAGGGGUCAGCGUGGCUCGUGGGAGCUGGAGGUUGGGGUGUGAUCUCUGGGUUGUUAGACACGUCCCUGUGGUUGAAACAUGUAUGUGAAAUGACAGUGAGAUGCCCGUGUCCCCUCUGGGACACGAGUGUACAGCGCACCGUGCGAGCUCCCAGGCGGCGGCUCCAUCUUGCCUGUGGUUGACUUCUAGGAAUGGACUACUUCUUGUACGGCCUUUCGGAUGGGAUGAAGCAGGCCCACAGGGAGCAGCUCUUUGCUGUCAGCCACGACAAGCUCCUGGCCGUGAGCAAUAGGUACCUCGGCACUGGGAAGAGCACACACAGCCUGGCCAUCCUUGGACCUGAGAACCCGAAAAUCGCCAAGGACCCAUCCUGGACCAUCCGAUGAGCAGCUGUGGCGUUCAUGCGCCACUGCACGGGAGCCCGAGACAAUAUGCCUCUGAGCUGAACAUGAAAAGUCAGAAAUGCUGCUUUUUCCAAGAAUAUUAUGUCAUUCUUAAAGUGUCGUCAAAGCCCUUGACUGGCGAGUCAGACAAAAACUCAGAUCUAUCUUAAGAGCAACCAGGAAGAGGUUCAUUGAAAUAAUCAUGCAUGAAGCAGCAAAGAUGCACCAUGUAGAAUUUUCACUUUCUACUGAUAGGCUUGUUUUACUUCAUUAAUUCUAGAAUAUUUAUUUAAGAAUCUAAAAAUAAAGGGCAACUCUGACUUAA
rnacentral:sRNA from 1 species